UUCAAAGCCUUCCACGCUGCGAACGCCGGUCUUGCUAGCAUCUGAGUGCCGGGAAGGGAGGACGAGGAGGUGGGAGUAAGACUGACUAUGUCUUCCAGCUCAUCUGCAAGGUCCCUCCUGCCACUUUCAAUCAUGGCGGCCGUCAAUCGUGACACCGCCCCAGGCCCGGCGCUUUUCUGUCCUUGGGCCCAGUGGAAGAGCAUGUCCAGCACCAGAGCUCCAAGAUUGUCCCUGGAUGUGUCAUGCGAGCAUGAGGAGCAAGCUGGGGGGGGGGGUCAUCAGACUGUGUGCGUAAUCUCCUGCAAUGUCCCAGAUGGCUCAGCAGCAUCUAACAGCGCAGAUUAAAACAAUCACAUUUCUCUCCCA